UCAACGGUGAAAGCGGCGCGCGGCGUCGCGCUGAGCGUCGCGCAGGUUUUAACGAGGCGCCGACGACGCAUCCUCGAGGGGUUGUAAUUCACGGGGUGUAACUCGACGUGCCGGCUAAGGAGAUACCCCCGGUGGAAUACUGGCGCGGAAGUAUGCGGACUUUGGUGCAGCCGGGGCUCCCGCGAUCCAUGACGCGUCUUUGAUUGGAGGCCUGCGCUUCCAAGAAAAGAACAGAGCCCCGGUCUUACACGAAGAUACGCGACACCUCUGACCUGUGACCGGCGACCCCGCCGGCCAACGUCACGAACGAAAAUUUACCUUCCAACCAGUCGCAGGGAUCCUCGUCGAUGAUGCUGCACACCGACUAAACUAUUUCCAAGUCCAGAAGGAAAUUAUGUCGAGGGUGCGUUUGGAGAUCGAUCAGGAAGUUGGCGCACUGGAACGCGUAAUAUGGAGCCCGCGAUUCAUCCGGUGACGUCCGAAACUCGGCACGGAGAGUUUCGAGCGGAACGACAACAUU